AGUGAACGCUGGCGGUAGGCCUAACACAUGCAAGUCGAACGGAAGCACAGUAAGAGCUUGCUCUUACGGGUGGCGAGUGGCGGACGGGUGAGGCAUACAUCGGAAUCUACUUUUUCGUGGGGGAUAACGUAGGGAAACUUACGCUAAUACCGCAUACGACCUACGGGUGAAAGCAGGAGAUCUUCGCACCUUUCGCGUUUGAAUGAGACGAUGUCGGAUUAGCUAGUUGGCGGGGUAAAGGCCCACCAAGGCGACGAUCCGUAGCUGGUCUGAGAGGAUGAUCAGCCACACUGGAACUGAGACACGGUCCAGACUCCUACGGGAGGCAGCAGUGGGGAAUAUUGGGCAAUGGGCGCAAGCCUGAUCCAGCCAUACCGCGUGAGUGAAGAAGGCCUUCGGGUUGUAAAGCCCUUUUGUUGGGAAAGAAAAGCAGCAUGUUAAUACCCCGCUGUUCUGACGGUACCCAAAGAAUAAGCACCGGCUAACUUCGUG
rnacentral:rRNA from 1 species